AGGUAUUCAAUGGAUAGAUUCUGUCACUUGAUCCGCCUACUCUCCUUUCUUUUGGAGUAGGAAAUCGAUUCAAUGAUUUACAAGAUCAAGAAUGAGGGGCGAAGCAGGCUCGCUAGUUUACCUCGAGAAAAAAGAAUCCUAUUUAGGACAGGAACUAACUGCGGUCUCUUUCGGAAAGGUUGCUUCAAGCGAUGUUACCGCUUCUCCUAUUGUGCUAGACCCCGGUCCUGCCUACGCUUCAGAUCGCCUAUAGCUUUUAGAAAGAAAGCGCUACACCCUAUUUCGAACAAAGCUAGAAGCCGGGCAAAUCUUUCGGCCAAAGUUUGAAGCCCCUUAGGAUGAUGCUUACCAAUCGAGCUGGCAAAGAACGCUAUCCUUUCACUAGAAUCAGUAAGAGAGCGAUCGCAUACUUCUUUCUAAAAAAAGGAUUUCUCAUCAGGUUCUAAGUAAGGUCUCCGUCCUUCCAAGACACCUUCCUUGGAUGAAUCAAUGGUGAAUGUUGGUAGUUUACUCGUUCGACCGAAGGGCUAUCCUAACUGCAUUGACUCCGCAUCCAUUACUAAGAUGGCUACCUAUGUGACAUAUCCUCUCCUUGACGGGGAGGCCUUGGCAACAUACACCCCAGAUAGACAGAUACCGAUCCAAUGGCAAUGAAUUCAAUGACCAGCUCCCUUUCCGCCUUGCUUGUCCAUCCCAUGCGCUAAGAAUAGGGAAGGCUAGCCUCCAUAGCUCUACAGUCGAAUGGUAAUCUUGCUUUCUAUUGGGGACCAGUGAAGAGGAAGUUUCUUGCUUAACCACAGGAGAACUGCUUUCCGGUGAGGCGAUUCAUGUCCUGCCCCGCAAUUGAAAUUAAGGAAAUAUAGUAAGGGGCAGCCCCCGCUUACGUGUGUUGUGCCACUUGAUGGGGAGUACGAAGCUCGAGUAGGAGAGAGGGCUGGCUUUGCUUGCUUGACUACUAUGCCGAUUGAUGGAUAUGGAUUGAGUAUGAAGGUGCCUAUGACUACUCUUUGCUUGAAAGAUUGCAGUUUCGGGGAGAAGGGAAGUUCAACUAGUCGAUCUAGCUGCUUAUCUUAUCUUAUGUGGUUUGGGCAUACGGAUUCGACUAGCAUUCACGUGGGUAGCAUUUGAAUGCGGGGAACAAUCACCCGAAAGCACCGGGAUUCCACUUUACUUUCUUUCCUAUGGUCCUAUCCCAUUAUAAAUAGAGUAAAUAGUGGAUCUUCGACUAGCAGCUUUUUUCGUGGGUCGUUAAUGGCUUUUUUGACCAGGCCAAAGGUGAAAAAGAGAGGACGGUAGUAUCCUUCUCUUAUGUUGUCACN
rnacentral:lncRNA from 1 species